GACGAACGCUGGCGGCGUGCCUAACACAUGCAAGUCGAGAGAGUGAAUCUCCUUCGGGAGUGAAGCUAGCGGCGGACGGGUGAGUAACACGUGGGCAGCCUGCCUCAUAGAGGGGAAUAGCCUUUCGAAAGGCAGAUUAAUACCGCAUAAGAUUGUAGCUUCGCAUGAAGUAGCAAUUAAAGGGGCAAUCCGCUAUGAGAUGGCCCCGCGGCGCAUUAGCUAGUUGGGGAGGUAACGGCUCACCAAGGCGACGAUGCGUAGCCGACCUGAGAGGGUGAUCGGCCACAUUGGGACUGGGACACGGCCCAGGCUCCUACGGGAGGCAGCAGUGGGGAAGAUUGCACAAUGGGGGGAACCCUGAUGCAGCAACGCCGCGUGAGUGAUGACGGCCUUCGGGUUGUAAAGCUCUGUCUUCAGGGACGAUAAUGACGGUACCUGAGGAGGAAGCCACGGCUAACUACGUGCCAGCAGCCGCUGUAACAC
rnacentral:rRNA from 1 species